UACCCAUUCGUAUACAUGUCUGAGAAGAAUAUUUUCCAAAAAUAUUAUUGUUUGCAGGGCUGGCAUCAAGGCCACUCACGUUCGCAUAUACCGUCAACUAAAAGCAUAUACUUGUGCACUAAUUCUGUGGACCUAACAAACGAAAUAUACACUGAAAAAUAAAAAUUGUAUUAUCCUCUGAGAGCUUUGAUCACAAUUUUCUGCACCAUCACACUGCAAAACUUGUGAUGGCCAUCUUUCUCCCUGUGUUGGGCCUGUUUCUUGUAUUCAUUGUGCAAGAUUUGACGGGCUUGCUGUGCUUUUGUUUCUGGAUGUAGCUUCCAUCUUGAAUUUCUUCUGGUCCAUGUUUGGGGAAUGAGAAGUUGGGAUUCUUUUCACAGAAAGCCGGCUUCUACCCAUUUGUGUGAAGAAUCAGAAGCACCUCUAAAAAACUCCACGGAGAGAAAUAGAAAGCCUGGAACCAAGGCCAAUCAACUUCGUAACUACCGUCAACCAGCAUAUACUAGACCAAACAAAUAUGUGAUGAACUUUUGCUCUGACCAAAAAAAAUUUACUGUCCUUACAGAGCUCUGAUCUCAAUUUUCUGGCAACUCUUAAGAUAGAUUAUGAUCUGUGGUUGUUGAAUCAAAGCUGUAAAGGAUCUUCGGGCUGCAAGUCAUUCUAGUUCUGAACACCAUCACACUGCAGGACUUGUGAUGGCCAUCUUUCUCCCUGCUCUGGGGCUGUUUCUUGUAUUAUUUGUGCAAGAUAUGACGGGCUUAUUGUGCUUUUGUUUGUGGAUGUAGCUUCGAUCCGAUCAUGUGUAGCAGUUGAGGUAUCUCUAUUGGUUUAAGCAAGAAAUAUCGAUAUAUAUUAGUUUUAUUUAUUUGUUUGUAUAGUGUUAAGGAAUUCCUAUGCGGGAGAUGGCAUACUUGGUUUCUGCAGAUUAGUUCUGCGAUUUUCAAUCAGAAGCAUAUGAAUUUUAACUUGUUAAUUAAAUUUAUUGUGAAUACUCUUUUCGAGAUUGUUGAUGCUUGUAGACAUCUGAAACUGCCCUAUUUUUGAGCUUCCUGCUUGUGCAAAAGCUGGAGGUCAAACUUAUUAACUGGAAAUUUAUUAGUUUUUAACUUUAAA